UCGGCGAGCCCUGCGCAUUUACAUUAAGCGCACUAAAGACUGGCGUAAGUCCGAUUCCCUUUUCGUAUCUUUUCAGCCGUCAGGGUUAAGCCUCAGGGCUUCCAAGGUGGCCUUGGCCAGGUGGAUUAAGGCUACUAUAUCUCUGGCCUACGAGUUGCUCCAUUUGAGCGUUCCUCAGGGACUUACGGCCCAUUCUACUAGAAGUGCGGCCUCCUCUGCCGCCUUCUCAGCUAGGGUCCCACUAGAGGAAAUCUGUAAAGCUGCCACCUGGUCGUCUGUGUCACCAUUUGUAAAGCAUUACAAGAUCCCAUCUUUUUAUGAGUCUCAGGCUGCUGUGGGUCGCACUGUACUUCAGCGGGUGGUAUAGAUAUCCGCUGCCCUCCCUUAAUGGGCUUGGGUAUGUCCCAUCGUGUGACAGAUGCCCUCCCCAUACCCUGGAAAAAGAUACAUUGGUAGACUUACCGUGAAGUGUUCUUUUUCUGGUAUGGGGAGGGCAUCCGGCCUACCCGCAGAUGUGGAGGAUGAUCUUCGGGGUGGAGGGGCAACUCCUAGGGUGUUUAGUUUAUCUUCCCUUUUUGACUCUUUUACUGGCUCCACCUGUGUUUAUUUAACCCAUACGGUGCGAGGUUUUUCCUUCAGCUUUACUUUCUUAACGCACUACAUGACCAGAACUGGGUCACAGAAGGUGGUGCUGCUGGGAUAGAGUACAUGCUUGAAUUUGAUUGGCCCUGUCUCGGAGCAUGCGGAGCCUGACAACCCAUCGCGUGACGGAUGCCCUCCCCAUACCCGAAAAAGAACCCUUCAUGUCAGCAGCAACAUGUCCCAAUCCAUCCUUCUCCGGCUUCCCCGGCUUUGUGAAGUGCUUCACUGCCUACUCACUUCAUUUUUGAAGCAGCAAAGUGCCCUGUAGAGAAGGAGGGAGCAAAGCACAUUCCUGCUGACCAGAAUAAGAAUAAGGAAGGCACAAGGAAGAUUGCAGUCAAGCAAAACUGGACUUUGGGCAGGAAAGGGAUGCAUCCAGGCAGAAAUUCAAGAGGUGCAGCUUCUGCAAGUUAAGACAAAGGAUGAAGUAUAAUUCAGAAACAUAUUAAUCACCACCCCUAAAACAGAUUUCCCCCCUCUCUUGUGUGUCAGCAUG